UUGCUUUGGCAGCUUACAUACUAAAAUUGGAAAGAUACAGAGAAGGUUAGCUUGGCUCCUGCGCAAGGAUGAUACGCAAAUUCAUGAAGCAUUCCACAUUAAA
ensembl:snRNA U6 U6 spliceosomal RNA